GAAGAGACAAAACCUACACAAGAGCGAUGGUGAGAUUGUAAUUUUGUUCUGUGGUCAAUGAGUUUCUCUCAGGUGGAAAAAGUAAACUCCCCAGCAUAAGACCAGACAGGUCUUCAUUUACCACCUCCAUAUGCUGUGUUGAGCACUGCACUAAUCCAUUGAAAUUGUUGGAAAAUACCAAACAUGCAGACAGCGCCUUGUUACCUCACUGACUGGCUGACAAUCCACUGUUGGUCAUGGCUUCAAACUUAAAAAUGAAGUGACAGGUGCUUAGCCUCAUUUUUCAUGCUAGCUUUGCCAUGCCAUUUUCACCAAUAAUGAAGGCAGCUGCCAGAGCUUGAGGAAAUCAGGCGAAAAAUUCAGCUGGCAGGUAUCUGAAGAGCACCCGCUUUUGGCAUAGAAGUGGCUUAUUAAAACGCAGCACCAGAAGAAGCAUUACAA